rnacentral:rRNA from 1 species
AUUGAACGCUGGCGGAAUGCUUUACACAUGCAAGUCGAACGGCAGCACGGGGCAACCUGGUGGCGAGUGGCGAACGGGUGAGUAAUACAUCGGAACGUGCCCAAUCGUGGGGGAUAACGUAGCGAAAGUUACGCUAAUACCGCAUACGAUCUACGGAUGAAAGCGGGGGAUCGCAAGACCUCGCGCGAAUGGAGCGGCCGAUGUCAGAUUAGGUAGUUGGUGGGGUAAAGGCUCACCAAGCCAACGAUCUGUAGCUGGUCUGAGAGGACGACCAGCCACACUGGAACUGAGACACGGUCCAGACUCCUACGGGAGGCAGCAGUGGGGAAUUUUGGACAAUGGGCGCAAGCCUGAUCCAGCCAUUCCGCGUGCAGGAUGAAGGCCUUCGGUUGUAAACUGCUUUGUUACGGAACGAAACGGACGAGCUCUAAUACAGUUGCUAAUGACGGUACCGUAAGAAUAAGCACCGGCUAACUACGUGCCAGCAGCCGCGGUAAAACG